CAAUAUAUGGAUAAUUAUAUGUUAUGUGCUAUCUUUUGGUUUGGCCUAAUUAUGUGGUCUUAUGGACAUUAUGUUAAGGGGGCUAAUGUGUUGUCAUACUAAAGUGUAGGACUAAUGUGUAGAUACCCAAAAGGGUAACCUUAGUUUAUGAUGCUAACUAAGGUUACAAAUGUAACUAUGGUUAAAUGAAUGCUUGUGACUCUUGAGUUUUGUAACCUUGCAAGACAUAACUCAAGACAUAACUUUUGUCUUGUAACUCUUGUCUCUUGGGUUAUGUA
rnacentral:lncRNA from 1 species